rnacentral:rRNA from 1 species
AUUGAACGCUGGCGGCAUGCUUUACACAUGCAAGUCGAACGGUAACAGGUUAAGCUGACGAGUGGCGAACGGGUGAGUAAUGCAUCGGAACGUGCCGGGUCGUGGGGGAUAACGCAGCGAAAGCUGCGCUAAUACCGCAUACGAUCUGAGGAUGAAAGCGGGGGACCGUAAGGCCUCGCGCGAUCGGAGCGGCCGAUGUCAGAUUAGGUAGUUGGUGGGGUAAAGGCUCACCAAGCCAACGAUCUGUAGCUGGUCUGAGAGGACGACCAGCCACACUGGGACUGAGACACGGCCCAGACUCCUACGGGAGGCAGCUGUGGGGAAUUUUGGACAAUGGGCGAAAGCCUGAUCCAGCAAUGCCGCGUGCAGGAAGAAGGCCUUCGGAUUGUAAACUGCUUUUGUACGGAGCGAAAAGGUCUCCUCUAAUACAGGGGGCUCAUGACGGUACCGUAAGAAUAAGCACCGGCUAACUACGUGCCAGCCGCCGCCGUAA